ACGUAGGGGGCAAGCGUUAUCCGGAUUUACUGGGUGUAAAGGGAGCGUAGACGGCAUGGCAAGCCAGAUGUGAAAGCCCGGGGCUCAACCCCGGGACUGCAUUUGGAACUGUCAGGCUAGAGUGUCGGAGGGGAAAGCGGAAUUCCUAGUGUAGCGGUGAAAUGCGUAGAUAUUAGGAGGAACACCAGUGGCGAAGGCGGCUUUCUGGACGAUGACUGACGUUGAGGCUCGAAAGCGUGGGGAGCAAACAG
rnacentral:rRNA from 1 species